UACCAGCACCCCGAGUGGUCGGGACGAUUAUUGGGCCUAAAGCAUCCGUAGCCGGUUCUUUAAGUCCUCCGUUAAAUCCACCUGCUUAACAGAUGGGCUGCGGAGGAUACUAUAGAGCUAGGAGGCGGGAGAGGCAAGCGGUACUCAGUGGGUAGGGGUAAAAUCCGUUGAUCCAUUGAAGACCACCAGUGGCGAAGGCGGCUUGCCAGAACGCGCUCGACGGUGAGGGAUGAAAGCUGGGGGAGCAAACCGG
rnacentral:rRNA from 2 species